GAGGCAUAGCUCAGCUGGUUAGAGCGCCUGCUUCACACGCAGGAGGUCAUAGGUUCAAGUCCUACUGUCUCC
rnacentral:tRNA from 1 species